rnacentral:rRNA from 1 species
UACGUAGGGGGCAAGCGUUGUCCGGAUUUAUUGGGCGUAAAGGGCGCGCAGGCGGUCUGCUCAGUUUUGAGUGACAGGUGGUGGCUUAACUGCCACAGGCCUUGAAAUACUGGUAGACUUGAGGACUUCAGAGGGAUGCGGAAUUCCAGGUGGAGCGGUGAAAUGCGUAGAUAUCUGGAGGAACACCGGUGGCGAAGGCGGCGUCCUGGACCAACACUGACACUGAGGAGCGAAAGCCAGGGGAGCAAACGGG